AGUCAACUUUCUCUGGGCUUGGUGGGCUCCCACUGAUCUUUGGCUGGAGGGCCAGAAAUGGAGAAUCCACAGAGAUUCAGCUGAAGCCCUCACUACGUUGGACCGGGACCCUCAACUCUAGUAAUAAUGUGCACGUCUGAGAACCUUUUGUAUGUCUAACUGUUUUGAGUUGCCAUCCUGCCCAUGGCUGGGAGUGACUGCUCCAGUUUACAUUUGCAAUGACUGGACACCCGGGUUCUCUCUUCUCCACAUCCUUGCCAACACUUGUUUUUUU